UCCGAGUUGUAAUCUGCAGAGGCGUCUUCCGCCCCGGACCGCGUCCAAGUCCCUUGGAACAGGGUAUCAAAGAGGGUGACAAUCCCGUGCUUGACGCGACCCCCGGUGCUAUGUGAUGCGACCUCAAAGAGUCGAGUUGUUUGGGAAUGCAGCUCAAAACGGGUGGUAAAUUCCAUCUAAGGCUAAAUAUUGGCGAGAGACCGAUAGCGAACAAGUACCGUGAGGGAAAGAUGAAAAGCACUUUGGAAAGAGAGUUAAACAGUACGUGAAAUUGUUGGAAGGGAAACGAUUGAAGUCAGUCGUGUCCGANGGUUUUUCNCCGGUCCUGCCGGUGCACUCCCCUCGGACGGNUCAACAUCGGUUCUGUCCGGCGGACNAGGGCAGGGGGAA
rnacentral:rRNA from 1 species